rnacentral:snRNA from 1 species
CUACUUACCUGGCAGAGGAGAUACCAUGAUCACGAAGGUGGUUUUCCCAGGGUGAGACUCAUCCAUUGCACUGCGGGUGUGCUGACCCCUGUGAUUUUCCCAAAUGCAGGAAACUCGACUGCAUAAUUUGUGGUAGUGGGGGACUGCGUUCGCGCUCUCCCCUG